CUGCAGGAUUCAGGAAUGAAGCUGCUGUGUGACUCUCUGCAGAGUCCAAACUGUAAACUGGAGACUCUGAAGUAAGUUUAGUCUUUGUCUGUUUCUGUUGUAGAUUUUUAUGUUUAUUCAGUUUUUUUUAACCCAAUUCAAAUGUUCAUAGAAUUCUUUAAUAUUUCCAGAACUUUCUUCUUUCUCACAUAAAUUCAUAGUUUUUUAUUGAAUCAUCAGUCAGAUACAGAUGGAGGAAAACUGUGAGUUAUUUUGUUGAUUGAAUGUUGAUGAUUUUUUAUAAAUGGUUCAGAUGAUCAUUGCAGUGAUGUUGACGGGUUUACUUCCUCGGUCUCUAAAUCAUUCAAAUGUUCAAGGAUGCAGUGAACUCACUAUCCAUGCAGCUCAGGAACACAGCUCAUCUUUUUCAUACAGGAAACAUUGUCAACAACAAAGGUGUCUUAAAGUCCCAUCAGUCAGCAGCUUCAGUCAGAAACCUUGCUGUCAGAGCUCCGUCAUUUCAACCCUCUGGAUAACUCCUCAGCACAGACCAGACCCUGUGAGAACAUCCUCACAACAUGCUGCUUUAGUUACAACAACAACAAUCAGCUGUUAGCAGAGAUUUCAUCCAAACAGUCCAGGAGACAAACUUUGAAGUGGUUGGAAAAUUCAGGUGUCCACCGCUCAUGCAGAGUUGACUCAUGUUGAUGAUGUUUUCAUGUCUAGAGGACAUGCUGGAGUGAAUUCAACCAAACCUCCUGAGGAAAAGACAGCGGUGGCAGCCAUUAGAUCAGGCUUCAUGACGUCUGUGCUUCCCUUUAUUAAACCAAAUCAGAGAGUUUCCCUCAUGUUUCCACACAAACUUUAAAUUGUUGAAACUGAAUUUUGUUAGUCAUGAUAAUGUGACAGCUGUUUUGUUUUUGAGAUUUGGAGUUUUAGUGUUUUAAUUACAGUGAAAUUUGAACACAUUUACUUAAUAUUCAUCUAUUUGUUGAGGAUUAAGUGGAUUAGGAGAUCUCAAAUAAGUGAUUAUUUGGAUCAUGAAUGUAUGAGACAGCAUCAGCCCUGUUUGGAGCUCUGGAGGUGUGCAUACCUAUGUGAGGCUGGUCCUUGGGGAGGAUGGAACAGGUUUCAAAGGUCUGGGCUACCAGCGGUUCAAGAGGUUGGGCUCAGCAGAGGACCGAAGGCAGAUGAAGGAUGGGCCUGGAGUCACAGCACACAGGCCUGAAUGCAAAAACCAGCACCUUAUGGUUCCUUUUGAUGCUCCUUUGGUCUCACCACAAAACUCUACCACAGAGGAUGACUUUGGGCCUGCUGUGUGGUGUUCAGAGGUAAAAACUAACUUGCAUUGCUAUGUGCUCAAUAAAAGUUGAAGUUUCAAAACUUGAACGAAGAUGAUGGAAACAUGGAGUAGAGAGUGAGGGAGGACUUACAGCAAAGGAUCAUGGGAGUCCAACCAGCAACUGCUGCAACAAGGACUCCACCUUCUGAACACCUGAACCUCUAAUCCAAACCAGUGCUCCAUCACAUUUGAUGUCUUGUCUGUUAUUUUACAUGGAGGGUCAGAGCAGACCAGAUCAUGAGCUCUGACAGACUGGAUCUGGUCCAAAGGUCUGCUGUUGGAGUUCUCUAAGCUCCAUAUUUUAAACCUGAACACCUGAAGUUUGAUUAUUAAUGAUUUUUAUUUACAUUCUCUUGUCUUUAUUUAGGUUGGAUAACUGCAGUUUGUCAGAGAUCAGCUGUUGUUCUCUGGCCUCAGCUCUGAAGUCCAACCCCUCCCAUCUGAGACAUCUGGACCUGGGUUACAACGAUCUGCAGGAUUCAGGAGUGAAGCUGCUGGGUGACUUUCUGCAGAGUCCAAACUGUAAACUGGAGACUCUGAGGUCAGACUUUUUUCCUCCAUUCAAACAUGAUCAUGAUUUGUUUGUGAUGAUGACACUAAACUGCUGACUCAGGACUGAAAUACUGACCCAGACUGAACACCUUCAGUCCAGAGUAGAUUUUCUGCAUCAGUGGAUUAUUUGAUUGACUCCAGUUAGAUCACUGCUGAGCUCCAGUGAAUUAAAACCUGAACCCAAGAAGAAAACUCUUUGUAGAGUUCACAGUGAGAAGCACAUUCAGACAGAAAACAGAAGCAGGGGGAGAUUUGUCAGACGAGAACCAUUCAAACUUUUGUUCAGGACAAGAUCAGGGAAUAGAAAAAACUCAGAGUUUAGUUUCUGACACUGAUGAAAGUCCAGCUCUGUUACUUUGAAUUUUGUUUUUGAAUCUUUGUAUGAAAAUCUGAAUUUUCUGGUUUAUCUGCACUUUUCUGAAGCCUUGCUGUGUUUAGACUGAAAUAUUUACCUCUCAAAGACGUGAUAUUUUUGGUUCAGCAAAGUGAAAAUAUUCUGAACAUCCUUUAUUUCCCAUCAGUCCUGAAGUCACUGACAUUUUCUGAAAAUAUUGAUCUGCAUCUACAAUCAGUAAAAAAGUCUCUGAGUUUUUUAUUUCAGUAUUUAAUGUGUUUUUGAAUUCACUGUUUCAAACUUACUUCCUGUUUGGUUCAGCUCUUUGGAGCGUCACUUUUCUUUGAUUCAAACUUUCCAAACCUUUCCCCUGAACUCGACAGAUUUAAGACAUCAGGUUUCAAACUGGAUCAUUUUUGUCUAAAAUCUCAUUAUUUCCUCUUUAUUUAGGUUGAGAUACUGCAGUUUGACAAAGAUCUGCUGUUCUUCUCUGGCCUCAGCUCUGAAGUCCAACCCCUCCCAUCUGAAAACUCUGUGGCUGUUAGGCAACGAUAUGCAGUUUUCAGACAUGGAGCUGCUGCGUGAUCUUCAGAAGAGUCCAGACUACAGACUGGAGGAUCUGUGGUCAGUAUAGUUGGUUUUAGUCUGUGCUGAUCUCUCCUGUUACACUCUACACAGUAAAAUGUUGAAUGUUUAUGACACUUAAAUCUAAUUUGCAUAAUAAUUUGUAACACAAUGUGUUUCCACAGUUCUUUAAACAGUGACACUAAAGAGGUACUUAACGUGUUUUUCAUUAUAACGGCCUGUCAACACUUGAUGUGUGUUUUUAGCACUGGUUGUACAGUCUUCUGCUGAUGCUACACCAUCAUCUCCUAUCAUCACAAUAAUAAGUUUAAAUGUAGAGACUGAAUGUCAAAGAGUGAAAGAGAGUUAGAAAAGACGUUUAUUUUGGUGCAUGUGAGAAAGAAAUGAUUCACAAACAUCUUGGUCCAGAGAAUGAGGCUGAUAUGGAGCACCUCAGGUUAGAUAUUCACAGAAUUAAACUGACCGACAUCCAUGAAACAGGUGAAGAUGAUAAUCAGUCCAGGGGUCUGAAUAUCCACAGCUUAAAGAACAAAAAUAAAGAUGACAAUGAAAUGCAAAGUACAAUGUAUCAAAUGUUUACUUCGUUUAUUCAUGAUUUUGUUUUCCUGUAAUUAUGUUGGCAGGUAGAGUGCUAAUUGAUCCGACAAAUCUCCAUUGCUGACUGACGAGUGAAUCUGCAGCACGGUGAUGAAAUGACUCAAACACAGAGAAAAGUUCUGGCAGCUUCCGUUCAAACAUUUCAGCAUCAGUCCGAUCAAAAUGUCCUCAGACAGCUGUGAUGUCAUCGCACAAACAAGCCAAUCAGCUGUCCUCAUUUCCCAGCAACCACAGACAGCUGGUCUCUGAUGCGUCCCCGUCUGUUCAGUAUGGAGUCCAGAGACUAUCAGCUCAACUCCACCGUAACCCUGAAACACAAACAAGAUUAUAACCUGUGAUGCCAUUACAGUGGACUGUGUUCUGCCUGUUUUUGCUCUCCAUACUGACUGACUAUCCUGCCAACACCAAUGGCAGCCAUCCGUCCCAGACAGCUCCUAUUGGUCAAUCUCCUGGUCCACCUCUCCAUCCAAUCAUCUCGCUGUAUUCGACACACCCCUCUCCCGUAGUUCCGACUCGUCCCCUCCCACUCUCCCGGCCCUCCUCAGAGCUCUGAGCGGCUAAAAGUAGCGUAGCAACUUAGCUACAGGAGCUGUGAUGGAGAAGGACGCAAAAAAGAAAAAAAAAACACUUCUGCUCGCCCCACCACCAAAAGUGGGAAGAAAACGCCGACAGACGAAAGGGCGGAGUCAAAGAGGAAAUGUGACCAAGCGAGGAAUCUAACUGGAAUAAACACCGGGUCAUCCUUGGAGCGGUGGAGAAAGCUCCGCCAGGAUUUAGUCCUUAAAACAGACACAGAGACAGCAGAGUUUUUGUUGAACAGGUCAUUUUUAUCGCCUUUCAUCGUGGCUCAUGUUACAUAAAUAACUCUGAUUAGUCUCUGACAUGUCAACAUGGUAGCUGUCCAGGCAGCUGCAGACGGCGCUCGCUAGCAGAGCUGGUGUUUACUGCCGCUAGUCACUGACAAUCCGACAUGGUGAAUCCUAUUUGAAGCUAGCGCAGGACCAUACAAUAAUUUAUACAUAAAUUGUCAAAUAUUUGGAAAACCAUUCCAGUUGUUUAGCCAACUUUUUGGAAGGAGGGGGGCUUCUUCAUUUAACAUUUUGAAUGGGACUUUUUUUUUUCAUGUUUUUGUUGUUCAUUAAAAUAAUUGAUUGUUCCUACAAGAAUUAAAACUAAAGUUCUUCUCAAAUAAAUCUGUUAAAAUGUCAUUUUUUUAUUGUAUUAUUUUGUAUGUAUGUCUGCUGAUGACAAAAUAAAAAUAUUUACAUUUAUGUUUGGAUAUGAAACAGUUUGUUUAAAUUACCCACAAUUUCCAAUUAAAGGUGGGGUAGGCAGGAUCUGAGCAAGUUCCAGUUCUUGAGAGAAAUCUUGAAUGAAAAUCCCCGCCCACAAACAGACGCUCCUGCUCGCUCGUAUCGUUCCAAUUUAAUUCAGAUAUAAUGCAGAUAAAUACUUCAGAUCAUUACAAAUGGGGCCCAGUCAAGGUGAAAGUCAAAAGCAUUGGUGCUACUGUAGAUGCCAACAGACUACCAGCAAACACAAUGUUUGCAGGACUUCUACAACGAGGAUAAAGUGACAUAGUCCAGGACCCGAGGGAGGACAGUUUAGCGAUGGCGCUACAACACGCUACAGCAGGUCCGUUUGACAAGAAACACUUCUGUUACAGACACUUGUCUUACUUUGUUAAAGCGGUUUACCUGUCCAGCAGAAAGGUUACAGGGUCACCAAGAUCCCCAAGCGUCCCCCAUCGUUUAUGUUGACCCGGCUUUUUAGCUCUUGUCCAGUCUACCACCGUUAUAAGCGCCCGUUAUUCCUCCAGAGUCUCCGGUAUUUACUUUGUUUUCUUGCUUGUGUCGGCAGUCGUGGCCAAAGGAGGAUUCAGACAAUUUUCCGAACUCUCUGGUUGGUUUCUACUGUCCGAUAUUGUAGCACACUAUCUUUGUUUAGGCUUGUUAACGUUAUUGGAGGACGUGGAGCGUGCCUCACAACACGUGGGAGAAGCGUCCACCUCACGACCAAUCAGGUUGGGGAGACAGCGAAUGGCUUUGUUUACAGUCAGAAAGAGUAGCCCGAUCAAAAAUUUUUAAAUUUUGAUUACACAGACAUAAGAGAACACAGCGAUAUUGUUAUAUUCUAAAAUGUCAUCAAUAACUAAUAACUAUUGGCUGAUAUUAAAAGCCUUUUUUUUAUAAACUACAAAAAAGAUUCUUCUUUAACAGAAUCCUGCCUACCCCACCUUUAAUUCCCAUGAAAAGUUUCCAAUUUCCAAAAUUCUUCAGCUUAACUUCCCAUGGAAAGUUUCUGGAAAUUUUUCCGCCCCUUUGCAACCCUAAUUCUAACACACACAGAGACACCAACACAACAAAACAAAGAUAAAACUCUGUAUCUAAGUCAGACUUACUUUGGUUACUGAAAGAUUCUGUUCUCCAUGUAGCACUGAAAAAAAAACAGCAGAUACAAACAUUAAAUUUCAUGACAACCUUAAGCGACAUCAUAUUCAGUUGACAAAUGAGAAGAGGACUGUUUGGAUGCUGAUAGAUUUAUGAUGUUACAAUAAACAAAAGCAAAAUAUUGCUGCUUCAUAUCACAUGAACCUCCUGUGAGUUUAUUUAUCACGGGUUAGGACUUUGAGUCAUGUUACCUUCAAGUCAGCACACAUUUCUGUCAGUUAAAUCCAUGGCUAACAAAUGGUUUAUGAUCAGACAAAAAAGCUGGCUUGCUAGCUAGACUUCUAAUCUUUCUGCAAUGUUUUUCCGCAAGGCAAAUAUGCAAAUUAGCCACGUGCAGCAUAUUGCAGCAGACAUUGAUGUUCCUAAAUGAUUAUGCUGCUGAUCACUUGUGCUUAUGUAAAAUAAUGCUUCUUGAGACACCAAACAUUAUCUAGCACGACUUCUACAGGAAAAAAUAACAUUGGUUCAAAAGAGUUUUACCAUCAUGCUUACCUUGAUGUUCAAAGCUGCCAGAAAAAUAGUCAGAGGGAGGAGUAAGCAGCGUAGAAAAGAUCUUGCGCAGUCUUCACUUACUGCUUUUAUUGGCAGGAGGCACAACACGGUGAUGAACAGCAGCAUUAACAGCGCCGUUUAACCAACAGAGACGUGCGCGUCAGCCAAACCAGCUUGACAUGUUGCCACAAAGUGAAUUAGAGUGAUGACAACUGAGCUUGUGUAACAGAUUUAGCGAAUUUCACCGCUGGACAUAUCAUCCAAAAUUAGAAUCAUCAUCUUAAAAUUUAAACUUUUUUUUUUCAUUUUCAGUAAAUCAAUAAGCACUGAAAAUUGUGCCUAAUAAUAACAAUAUCAACAUGCAGAAAUAUAACAGCCUUUACACAGCUGUGAUUAGAAUAAUGUUCCAAUGUAACAAAAACAGAAGAAACACUGAACCUGGCUUCAUAAAGAUAUAAAGCAUAGAGUUUUUUCGGCCAAAGUCCAUUUCCAAUCUGCUUUUAUUUUUUCACUCUUCUUGUUCUCACAUGUUAAAUAUGAAACUGCCAGAAAUCUUUUAAAAAUUUCACCAAGACAAGACGUUUUGAGAGUUUUUCACUGUCUUGUUGUGUCUUAUAAAGUUUUCACCUUCUAUGUUGAUAGAGCCUGUAUUUGUUUGCCAACAUUUUUCAUUCUGUAAUUUAUGUACAGGAGUAUGAAGGAGCAGGACAAAGUGAUUUGAUUUAUAAGAUUCUUGACUUUAUAUCAAGUCUUUGCAGGUGUAAAGCUUUAAUGCAUAUUUUUGUUCUGUUUAAAAUAAAAAAAAUCACCAUUAAACUCAAACCCUGAUUUCAAAAAUAAAACAUUGAUAUAAAACUGAAUUUGAUGUUUUUCAAAUGAUCUAAACUUAGUAUUCUGAUAAUAAUGGUGCAAAGACAACAUAAGAAUGAAAAACCUUUUGACUAAUGAGGUUAAUUUAGAAGUUAGUGAGGUGACUGGGUAUAAAAAGGACAUUCAGAGAGGCUAAAGAUUAGCAGAGGUUUAUCACUCUGUGGGAGACUGUGUGAGCUAACAAUGUGACAAUUUAAAGAUAAUUCUCAGGAGUGUAAACUCACUAAGGACUGGUGUAUUUUAUCAGGUACAGUACAUUAUAUCAUUUACAUCGUCAGACUGUUAUUUUUACGCCUUCAAGUGGAAAAACAGACAAGACUCUGUAGUGGAAUGAUGUGUGAGUUUUAUGUGCACCUGCUGGACAUCCCUCCAUGAUAUUUGAUAUUUCAACUACUGAGUAAGUGACAUAAUGUCAAUUGUUUCCUUUUCCAUUUAUGCUAGUGUGUGUGUGUGUGUGUGUGUGUGUGUGUGUGUGUGUGUGUGUGUGUGUGUGUGUGUGUGUUCUUUAAGUCAUUAGCCAUGUUAAGCUAGAUAGUGGGGAUUUGUCAUGUUAUGUUUAUUCAUGUGAACAUUUCCAGUGUCAUAGUUAAUUGGGUGAAAUUUCAGUGUUGUGCCUUACAAGUACACUUUCUCUCCGUCAGCUCGUUGCCGGCUAACCUCGCAAGACAGUCGCGUACAGGUGAGUCAAGACACAGUAACAUCAAGCCAACAGGGCGGGAACUCCAGGCUACCAUCUCCCACUCCGCUCGCAAGCCUAACUAUUGAUGCAAGAACAGCCAGCCUAACACCUAACCCUAGUUGAAGUGUUUGCCACACUUCGUUAUCUACUCCACUUACCGCUGUCUUGCUUUCUCCUUUCUAUUCUCUUUCUUUUCUCACUACCUGAUAAGUAGGGGAUGUAAUAAGAUAGAACAUGGAGAGACUCAACCAGCUGAAAGAACAACAUGAAGACUUUUACUGUGUUUUUAUGUGUGCUUUGGCUCAGUGCACUUCACAGUAACAGAACUAAAUAUUGGCCACAUAUUUUUUGGUGUUUUUGUGCAACUUCUAUAAACUAUCAGCUGUAUCUCACAGCACCAUCCAUGGUGUGAGUGUCUGUGUGUUUUACCUGGGCAGCCUGAGCCGCAGGGAUGCUGAGUGUAGCUGCUGUGGUCUCGGUCAGCCGUCGACUCCGACCUCUGUGGCUCUGAACACAAACGUCUCUCACUGCAUCUUUAGACGGAGCCUGAGCAAACAAAAACACCCAUGAGUAACAACAACGGUGUCAUUGUUGAGAGUCUGGAGAGAGACCGGAAAGGCCCAGAAUCCAAGGAGCUGAAGUCCAGCAUUUAGAGACCUUCAGGCUUCAUUUGCUGAGAGUCUUUAUGGAGAUCCAGGUUUACUUUCAGCAGGACCUGGUACCUGCCCACAGCACCACAGCUACCAGAAACUUGUGUAAUAACCUUCUCAUUAUUGUAAUCCUUGUAAUUCCUUCUUUUACGAAGAAGAUGAAGUUUUUUUUACACUAUCCUGUUUUCAUGAUGCACCUGUUUACAUGGUAUCUUCAUGUCUGUUGACAUGAUUUGAUAAGUUGUGAUCUGACUGUGUCUGUUAUCAACUAUUUUUCAAACCCUAGUAAUUCAAUGUAAAAGACUGAGAGAGAGAGAGAUACUAAAGGGUCCUGGACUUUCUAAGCUGACUUAUAUGAGGGCUGAGAUCUAAAGGAAAGUGUUAAAACUGUGUCAUAGUAAAUGAAUUACAAUUUAAGAAAAAAAGAAAGUAAAAUAUUGCUGCUUCAUAUCACAUGAACCUGCUGUGAGUUUAUCUAUCACGGGUUAGGACUUUGAGUCGUGUGUGCAGAGGAGCAUAGGGGUCAAAGGUUAAAAAUAAAUCACUCACUGAGGAGUAAUCUUUAUUUAACGAUGGUGUAGCAGGUCCCGCCUAAGUGACCCCACUGUUAGACAUUUGGAUCAUCCAAUAGUUGGAGUACCUGGAAAUAUAAGAAAUAUUGCACAGGGAUCAAGAAAACAGGACAGCUGUUCUUCAUUCUCCAUUUAACCAGAUAAUCGAUUUAUUUACAAUUUAACUGCAAACAUGACUUAUUCUCUGCUAUUUUGUCUGCUUUACAUUAAAGCACAGGUUACAUCCACAUCUGGAUAAAAUCAAAUGUCUGUUUUCACAUUAAUGUCUCUUUUUCUUUACAUCUUUUCCAAAAUUAAACAAUUCAACUUUACUAUCUAAAUUUCACUUCACCUGUUCUGUCUUUUCCCAUGAAUGUGCUCUUCCUUUACACACACCACCUCUUUCUCUCAUUAAAAAAUAUCUUUAUCAUAGCUGUAUAUUUUAUAAGUGUUCACUUUUAAUAUCAAUCUUACAGUUAAACAGUACCAUCUUUACACUAAACACAAACUGAAUUGUUAAACAUGGUUACCUCGUACUAUAACCGCUGAACUAGAACCGUGUCAUUGUCUCAUCUUAACGUGCGCACCACUGAAACAGGACUGCAGCCGUAGCUGAUCUCAAACUACAUAUUUACAUUAGCUUACUCUGUUUAAAACAAUGUCCAUACACACAACCGCUUUUAACACACAGAAAUAACUCACAAAUGCCCGGGAGCCGAAAGAAACAUACGAAAAAGAAAUCAACGAGCUGCGGCGUCGGCGCCAUUUUCUCUGCUACAACAGUCACGUACCGUCAAACUUCAAUGUUAACAAUCGUAACACACUAUUAGCUCACCGAUAACACAUCACCGGGGAUUCAUUUCAGCUUAUAAACAUUUGUGACCAUAUAAAAUACAAAUAACUGACCUGGAAAUAUUAGAAAUAUGACACAGGAAUCAAGAAAACAGGACAGUUGUUCUUCAUUCUCCAUUCAACCGGAUAACGAGCUCAGCUCCCGUUGCGUUCUUGUAAGUCCCAGUGAUGAUAGUGGUCGGUGCUGCCACCAAGUGUCCAUUUUGUGAAACCACAUGCCAUUGUGUGUUUCUCUGUAAUUUCUUCUUAUGACACUUAAAUCAUUCAUAUGUGAACAUGCUAACAGUAACAUGACAUUUACUGUAGGUUCCACUGAGGCUUGUUUGCAAGAAAACUUGAAAUAAACGUGAAUAAAAACUGUGAUCUGAAUCUCCUCUGUGAAGUCUUUCAUCUGCCCCCCUGAGCCUGAUAUAAACUCCUGAUUCAUUUUCUAAUUAACGUUUUUAAAGACUCUCCAUUAGCAGCUUUAGUGCAAAGAAACCGUUUCUGCAAAUUCAGAGACUCAACUGUGAUGUUCCAGGAUCGAUCCUCAGCCUGAAAUCACAAGAACCUGUAAAACUGGAGUAAAACCUGAAAUAAUGCACGAGUGUCUCUGAAAAUAAUAUUACCAUGAGCAGCCUGCCACCGUCCACAGACAGAUGGGUUUAAUCCUGCUCUGCACAUUAUUAGCAGCUCUGCCUGCAGCCUAAUGAGCAAGAAGACAAACAAGAAAGUGGAGCAUCUGCAAGUUUGAGUUUGUUAAAACUCCUUCUUAAUGACCGAAAUGAUUUUAGAAAAGGCUGAUAAAGCAAAGAUAAGAUAAUCCAAACCUGCAGGACUCUCUCAUGUUUGUUUACAGACCGAAACAGGAGCUGAAACUGAGAACAGGGAGCCACCUGGUGGAGAAACACCAAACUGCAGCUUUUCUAUCUGCAGCAGACAUUUACAAAAAAAAAAAAAAACAUAUUUUUUCUCAGUGUAGCGACUGUUUUCCUUCAACAAAAAAAGGCCGAUGGGGUUUAGGUUCACUUGCAUCUGUGACUCUUAUAGUUAUCAGUCCAGUUUGAGAGUUAAAAAGUGAUUUAUUGUUUAAAAAAAGAAAAGAAAAGAAAAAGAAAAGAAAAGAAAACACGCUGAUCCAGGUCCAAAACUUUCGCCUUCAAAUGAAAAAGUGAUAAGAUGAAAUGAGGUUAAAACAGGAUGAAACGGUGAAAAACAGUCAACAGAAACGUAUCAGAUCUUACCACAAAUUAUUGUCUGACUACACCUGUGAGAUUGAAAAAACCCGUCAAAACAUCCCAAAACUACACCCCGGAAGUGACGUACCUAAAGAAAAUCGUACUUUCGACAAAUAUAUUUUGGCUCCUACGCUCAUAUUUUCCUAAAUACCCGAUGCCAAUGACAGUCUGUAUAAUGUUCAAGUCAUUAACUCUUCGAUCAUAAUAUAAAUUAAAUCAAUUUUUUUUCAAUAAUUAAAAGAAAAACUCAAUAUGCACUGCUCUAAAUUAUACAGAGCUGAGUUUUUGGAGAGUUCCUGCUUGACUUCUUUUGCAUGAUGUCUCCCAGAGCUGCUGUUUGGAUGUGAAGGGCCUCGAGGACGCUCCAAAGGUUCUCAGUAGGGUUGAGGUCAGGUGAGGAUGGGGGUCACACCGUGAGUCUUUCUCCUUUUAAUGACACAGAGGUAUUCUCUGAUGAAUAAGAUUGUACAUGAAGAUUAGUCUGCUAAAGAAGGCUCAGUUCUUGUUUUUGUACCAUGGAAGAAAGUGGUCAGUCAGAAACUCAUUAAACUAAACUGAGGUCAUUUUUACACCGUCAGGAAUCCUAAAGGGCCAACAAGCUCUCUCCUCUUGAUUCUGGUCCUAAAACACGUCCUCAACACCUCCUUGUUGAUGUUGGGAUGUGGUGAGACGGAGGUGAAGGUAGAGGAGUAAGUGCGCAUGAAUAUAAACACAUCAUUUCCUGUAAAUAUCAAGGGGAGGAGACACCUGACAAUAACACAAAACUAUUCAAAGCUCAGACUUCAGAGUGAGUCAGCACAGAGAGAAACAAGGACACUUGUAACAGGGUGAGUGUUAAUUCAGUCUUACUGUUUGGUUUUCAGAGUCUGUCGUUCAUCAGAAGUGUUUUUUGCGUAUUAAUACACUUAAAAUUGAUAUGUAGAGAAAAUUGAUCAGAUACGUUGUUGGAUUGAUUCCUCGUCCAGUAAACUGUGAGUGUGCUGUUCUUCCUCUUGUUUUCCCCGUAGGUGAGAUGAGAUCAAAAUCACUCUUCAUAUUUUUGUGAACUUUAACAGACUUCACCGAUUAUCUUUACACCGUGACUCAGACAAGGAAUCCAAACUAAUGCUGUGGAAACUGAUCAAACAGGUUUCAAACUCUGACACACCCUCAAACUUUCUGUCAGGAUUCACUUCUCUGAGCUCACAGCCAUCAUUACUGCUUUUUCAGACUCAGAGUUUAGGAGAGCACAGGUCUGGAUGUUUGGUAAUUAUGACAGAACGAUGACAUGUACAGCAGACUCGGCCUAACACUGACGCAUCUGUAGAGGGUGUAAACAAUACGCUACAUGUAGCUUAGCUGCCCGCAAGACUAUAAUGUCGUCCUUUUUUUUUUUUUUCCAAACCUUUAUUCCAGUUCUUCAGCAAUGACAAGUACAUACUAUUUAACAGGUGGUAGCUACAUUCAUUUGAGAGGAAUCAAAACUUUGCAAAAAGAAAAGAAAAAACACAAUAUCUAGUCCGGCAUCCAAAGAUAAGUUAUAAUAUAAAUGAUGACAUGGGGAUCAUACAUUUAUGACAUAUCAUAGAGAGGACCUCAAGGCUUCAUAGAAAGUCAUAGUUCGAAUUGCUUUUUUAUUCCUUAGUCCAGUUAGUGUUUUAAAAUAUAUCUUCAUUUCAUUUUUAAACUGGUUGAUAUUUGGUUUCUUUUUAGACCAUUUACAUUUUUGUAUAUAAAAUCUUUAAUACAAAGUUAAAAGGUUUAAUAAAAAAAUAUUACUUCAGUCCAUGUUCGUUUUUGUUUUUUUUUUUCAAAAUAAAAAAUACCUCACGUUUGCAGGUUUAUCUUACAUCCAGACAACGAUUCAAAUAAAAUUUCAACCUCAAUCCAGAAAAAUUUAACAUGCAUACAGUCAAAAAUAAAUGUACAAUUGUUUCUUUUUCAAGGUUACAAAUACACAAGAGUCCGGUAUAUCAGUUCUAUAUUUUUUUGAGAAAGUGGUUAGUUAGGUAGAUAAAGUGAAUCAUUUUGAAAUAAAAAACCUUGGUCACUUGAUUGUUGAUCAGAUAUUUUUGUCGUAAAUCCAUACCCUUUUUCCAAAUAAUUCCAUCAAAAAUACCAUUCCAAAAAACUUCUGGCACAAGAGUUAGAAGAACACUACAAGAUAUUUCAAAACUGUUCAUUAUUACAUUUUUAUCUUUGAUAUUGACUAGUAAUAGUUUCAAGAAACAAGCUGGUAUUUCAUCAAAUACAAUACAACAUUCCCGUGCAGGUAUUAGAAUACUGAAGGUCUUUAAAAAUUAUGUGUAUGAAAAUAAUUAACCAUUCUCAUUGAGCAACUGUGGAACAAACAGAAUCUUGUUUCUAACCCAGUACUCAAAAAAUAUUGAUUUGUUUGUAUAUCUGAUGUAUGUAUUGUUCUAAAUUAAAUGGUUGUGGGGAGAGAAAUUAUGUUUGUAUAGAAUAAAUCAAGAUAAAAGCACUUGUCUAUGAAAGUUAGACAACUGAAUUGGGAGUUUAUUUAUGUCGAAAUUACAUUUUAGAAGGACCUCUAUACCACUGACUUUUUCAAAGAUAAUAUUGGGAAUAAAGUACAAUAAUUUAUCUUUAUUUUGGAUAUAAUGUUUGAUCCAGUUCACCUUGAAGACUAUGUUAGAUGAAUGAAAGUCCAGCAUAUUUAAACCUCCUUGACAUUCUGAAUUACAUAAAACGCCUGUUCAAUUUAUUUUCAAUUUUUGGGAUGAGGGGUUGGAAGUUUGACUGUAUUCUGUUUGCUUGAUUUUUACAAAUAUUUAUUCCUGAAUAAGUUCCUCUUUAACAGGGAUACCAUCAAUUUCUGCUGAAUGGAUAUUGCCAUCGUUAAGAGGAUAAUGUUUUUCAAAAGAAAGUAUGAAUCAAAUUAAAUCUGUGUAUCUUUGACCUUCACUUUCUGGAUAAACCAACAUGUUAUCUCUUAUUUUAGAAUAAAACUAUGCUUCUGUGGUGCACAUUAGUGUGUUUAUUAAGUGUUUAUUUUACACACAUUUGAGGUGUGAAGGAACUUAAGUUCAUGAGGAGAAUGGAGAGAGGAAUUAAUGAGCCAGGGUGGAUUGCACCCAGAUGACUUUCUGGAGGGGCCGCCCCCUCCUCAGAAAAAAUUCUGGAAGGAAAAUGAAUGGCUCGGGUUUCUAUCUUCUGAACUUUUCUACUGUGUUUUUUGGAAUUGAGGGGCGCUGAGCCGAAAAUCAAUUAUUACGAUAAAACUUACCUCUGAAACCCGCAACACUUUAAAAGAAGACAUGAAAUAACAAAUAUGCAAUAAUGAGUAACCUGUGAUGCAGACAUCAUCAUUUUAACCUUUUUUUUUUCCUUUAAGAAGUUAAACGUAUCACUGUUACUUUAUUACUGCUUUCCAUCAAAUUUUUAUUUCUCUACCAUCGAUGAUGGCUUUGGCCCCUACAAAGAAAGCUUUUUUCCCUUACUUACCUGCCUCUUCAAUUUGUGGCCACAGCUUGUUGCGCAUUUCCUUCUCUUUUGUACUUAAAUCUUCUCCGAAUUUCAUUUUCCUAAACUUGAGGAAGCUAGAGUUUUUGGUUGUAUCUUCACUGAAUAGAAGUGACUUGUUUGCCGUGUUACCUGGGUUUCUCUGUCUUUUUUCCACCAUUAUUUCCAAGCUGUUAACAACCGUUAAAGUUGUAUGAGUUGGUAUUUCAAUCUGACGGAAAAGUUGAAUAAAAAGUCAAAUCCAGUCCAAAAGGCGACAUGUUCAACCAGUAGCAACUGUUCCAAAUGAGCAAUGUCCAGUUUUAAGGUGAGACAAUCAUUUUUUUGGGGUUAGUGAAAUAGUUCUCCGUCCGCCUCAGCCGCCAUCUCGCACAGGAGUCCCUCAGCAGAGCAGGGAAGUUUGCACAGUACUAAAGCCUGUUGUCAACGUUUCUCAGAUACAGUAAUAACUCCUGUAACCUCUAACCAACAUUAUCACUUAAUACGGUCACAACAAAAAAACUGAAGUUGACUAAACGUUUUUCAAACACUGUAAAGAUAUUCAUGCUGUUGUUUUAUCUUCUGUUCGACCAUAAAGCUGGUCCAAAGUUCAUUACUGUGAAAUAUCAGCCUGUCAGUUUAUAUUCAAGGUCCAAAGUCUUUGUAUGAACAGGAUUCAGUGCAGGACUGUAACAGAUCAGGACAAUAAAUGAAUCAUUUACAGAAAAAGACAAGAGUCAUUAGAGGUCAAACAAACCCCAAAGAGAUGAGGAACUAAAUACUACUGACUGAAUAAUACUUUUAAUAACUGCUGAAGGACUGAUCAUAAUGAACCAGAGUCUAUAUUUCUGAGAUUGGAGAAUAAAGAGACGAUAAAUUGGUGGGUAGAAAUGAGGGGAUGGAAACAUUUAAAAAAAAAGGGAUUAUAUGUUAGUUUGUUAAACAUGUUUUUGUUUGUGUGUUAUAUUACCACAAAUAGGGUUUAGUUAAUAUUACUGAUGGUUUUCUCUGGUGUUGUAUGAAGUCUGAAUUUCCUGAGUUUUAGGAUCAGAUCAAAAAAAUCACCUCAUUCUCAGAGUCCAGCCAAAAAAAACGUUAAAUCUAUGUUCCUCUGUGUUUGAACCAGAGACAUUCAGCUUUUACAGUAAAUGACUGUAAAGAGUCAAAUUAAAGUCCAAAACAGCUUUGUUUUCUGUAGUCGGUUAAAAAGAAGAAUCAGUCAAGAAUAAAACAAUCAAUGAACAUGAACAAUACUUGAUAAUACAGAAGAUUAUAAAGAAAUGUGAAUUUCAGACUCUUUGACUCGAUCAUAUUAGACUGGAUAAGAAAUAACCAAUCAGGACCUUUAGGAUUUAAAAUAAGAGGAAGUGUGCAGACAGAUCUUUGACAUAAUGAGAUGUAGAAACUUGAUCAUCUUCAUCUUCACACUCUCUUUCUGUUUGUGUCUCAUCUGUUUGUCUUCCUUGUCCUCAGGUUGUAUAACUCGGUUUCAUCUUCCAUAAAUUUGCUCAACAUCAGAUGGAGAAGAUGAGUGAUGGUGCAAAGAAAAAAAAGGGCAGAGCAAAGUCUGUCAUGUUCAGCUUUCUGACUAGGAAGAGUAACCGGUCAAAAGGUCAUCAACCGGAUUUCAGUAAAGAACCAGGACCCUCAGAGGAGGGCGGAGCAAAGUCUGUCAUGUCUGACUGUCUGUCUAUGAAGAGUGACCGGUCUAUAUUUCUUCCACUGAACUUCAGUAAAGAACCAGGACCCUCAGAUUCACAGUAAGAGAAACACUUUUUAACCUCCAAACUCUCAAACAGUCAUUUAUGAUGCUCUAAAUUCUGACCCCUCUGUUUUCUACCAUGGUGAGAAAAAUGAUCUUAAACGCUGAUUUUCCUGUUGAACCUCCAAACCUGGAGAAAGUAAAGAAAAAGUCACUGAGUUCAGAUUUACUUAUUAUUUCUAAUGUUGAUAAAAAUGAAGGUGGUAUAAAACAGCAUUAGAAAAGGAUCCUGACCUCUUGUAUUUUCUGAUUUGGUUCCUGUGUUUGGGACGUUUUGAGCCUGUAAGUCUUUGGACUGUGGUGUAUAGACCCCUGAAAACAGUCUGUGGGUCAGAAAAUACCAGAAGACCAAAGAAGAAAUAAAUCCUGAGAAAUAAAAACUCAUUCAAACAUCUGUCUGUUAUUAGACCUUUAGAUCUGAUUGGUUAAAGGGGACCUGGCAUCAAAAUGUAAUUUUGUGUGUUUUUUGUGUCAGAUUAGGUCCAUAUUAUGUUCGUCUUAUGUUGUAAAUGUGAAAAUAAACUUUUACGUCGUUUGAAUUCUGUAAAAGUUUAAAAUAAAGAAACGGGUAAACCAGGCCGAUUGAAAAAGCAGGUCCUUCUGACGUCACGCUGACUUUGCUCAUUAUUAUUCAUGAGCGCGUCCUCGGUGAGCCGCGCCCACUACUGAUCAGUACGAGGACAGUCCCCGUAUUGGAUGACCUGUCCCCGGCAAAAGCUGUCCCCGAAAAUGUCCCCGAUUUAAGCGUUUCAUGAAUGAGAGCAAAAAUGUUGCGUGUGGGCUCGAACAACGGUUAUUACAGCAGCCGAAUAGGUAGGAAGCACAGGUUAGCAGUCCUGAACAACAGUUCUUACGGGGUUAUUACAAGGGGCAUGCGCUGCUACUAAAUAGUACCGAGACUUUGUCUGUGAUCACACAGCCCCUGCAGCCCCCUGCUGCCGCUGCCGCCGCACCGAAUGUCCCCGUAUAUCAUUACAGACAUCUGGGCACCUUACUUUAGCACACAUUAGCAUAUGCUAUUAGCAUUAGCAUAAUAACAAUGGAUAAACCGAAAUCCGAACCUCCACUGCUGAGCCAAUCAGAGCACAGCAGGCUUCACAGCAGCGAUCCAAUCAGAGCAAAGCUCAUUACCAUAAAUGUUAAUGAGCCAAAACCAGUUGGUUUUCCUGUAAGGUUUUUAAGGAAUACUAAAACAAACCAUCAAAUAACUUUUCAGCUAAAAUUAUGUUGCAAACAUGAUCAGAGGACAUCAAGGAUUAUGAAAAAAUGAUAAAAAUGGGAAUGAAAUGUUGAUGGCAGGUCCCCUUUAAAAAAGUUUUAAACUGUCAGAGAAAAUCUCUCGACCUUCAAAAAUCACAGUUGAGUUUUUUCUCCUGUCUCCACACUUUGAGGCAGCAGCAGCUGAAUAUUUUACUGUUUUAUGUUAGAGAAAAGAGAAACUCUGGUUUAAUAAAUGCUUCUUCCUCUGAAUCUUUCAAACAUGAAAUGAUAAAGAAAAUAAAUGUUCUUUAUUUCCACAGAGAGACACAGAGAUUUGACUUUGUGAAGAAGCUUUUCAGACAUUUCCGCUCUGAUGGAAGUAAGUCUGAACAUCUGUCCUCUAGAGUCUGUGUGGAUGAAAACUCAGCUGACUGAUUUUCACAAAGACGUUUCAGUGUUGAGAAGUUUGGUUCAUUUUAUUUUUCUCCUCUUUCAGAAGGUGGUGGUCUGCAGGAGGUUUUAGAUGAACAUAAGAUCAGUCUGAAGAGGAGAUGUGAACGUGUGAAUGAAGGAAGUGAUGAAACAGGAAGUAGUCAAACCCUCCUCAACAGGAUCUUCACUGAGCUCUACAUCACAGAGGGACUGAGUGAAGAGGUGAACACCCAACAUGAGGUGAGACAGCUGGAGACAGCUUCAAAGAUGAAGACCCUCCAUGACACGUCCAUCAGGUGUCAUGAGAUCUUUAAAACCUUACCUGACCAACAGGAGAAGCUCAUCAGAGUGGUUCUGACCAACGGCGUGGCUGGUGUUGGAAAAACCUUCUCAGUGCAGAAGUUCACUCUGGACUGGGCAGAGGGUUUGGAGAACCAAGACCUCCAUCUGGUGGUCCUGCUUUCAUUCAGGGAGUUGAACCUGAUCAGAGAUGAGCGCUUCAGUCUUCUGAGUCUGCUCCAUGUUUUCCAUCCAACACUGAAGAAGGUCACAGCAGAGACGCUGGCUGUCUGUAAACUUCUGUUCAUCUUUGACGGUCUGGAUGAAAGCAGACUGUCUCUGGAUUUCACAGACUCUGAGGUCCUGUCUGACGUCACACAGAAGUCUUCACUGAACGUUCUGUUAACAAACCUCAUCAAGGGGAACCUGCUCCCCUCAGCUCUCAUCUGGAUAACUUCUCGACCUGCAGCAGCCAAUCAGAUCCCUCCUUCAUGUGUGGACAGGGUAACAGAAGUACGAGGCUUCACUGACGCCCAGAAGGACGAGUACUUCAGAAAGAGGUUCAGAGAUAAAGAUCUGUCCAGAAGAAUCAUCUCACACAUCAAGUCCUCCAGGAGCCUCCACAUCAUGUGUCAGAUCCCGGUCUUCUGCUGGAUCACUGCGACAGUUCUGGAGGACAUGAUGAGCAGAAAGAAGAGAGGAGAGCUGCCCAAGACCCUGACUGACAUGUACUCACACUUCCUGCUGGUCCAGACUAAGAGGAAGAAGCGGAAGUAUGGAGGAGGACAUGAGACAAGUCCUCAGGAGCUGACUGAGGCUGACAGUGAAGUUCUCCUGAAGCUGGGGAGGCUGGCCUUUGAACAUCUGGAGAGAGGAAACAUCAUGUUCUACCAAGAGGACCUGGAGCGGUGUGGUCUGGAUGUCUCAGAGGCCUCGGUGUACUCAGGAGUUUGUACAGAGAUCUUCAGAAGAGAGAGUGUGAUCUUCCAGAAAACUGUUUACUGUUUCGUUCAUCUGAGCGUUCAGGAGUUUCUGUCUGCAGUCUACAUGAUCCACAGUUUCACAAAGAAGAGGAACACAGAAGCUCUGGAGACUUUCCUAAGAGGUAACAAAGACAAAAUGUUUUCUUCAGAGAUGUUUUCCAGAUCUUUUCAAAACCUGGAUUACUGUUUCUCAUCUCAGGAUGUCUUCCUGAUGAUUGUCAUGAUGAAAUCCCUUCUCAGUAAAAACGGUCACCUGGACCUGUUCGUUCGCUUCCUUCAUGGACUCUCUCUGGAGUCAAACCAGAGACUCUUAGGAGGUCUGCUGGGUCACACAGACAACAGUCCAGGAAUGAUCCAAAGAGUCAUCAAGAACCUGAAGUGGAUGAACAGUGAAGAUUUCUCUCCUGACAGAAGCAUCAACAUCUUCCACUGUCUGAUGGAGAUGAACGAUCUGUCAGUUCAUCAGGAGAUCCAAGAGCUCCUGAAGUCAGAGAACAGAUUUAAGGAACUCUCAGAGAUCCACUGCUCUGCUCUGGCCUACAUGCUGCAGAUGUCAGAGGAGGUUCUGGAUGAGUUGGACUUACAGAACUAUAACACAUCAGACCAGGGACGAUGGAGACUGAUCCCAGCUGUGAGGAACUGCAGAAAGGCUGUGUGAGUCCAGGUUUUAUUCUCAGAAUAGUGUAAAUGAUCCCUGUAGUUCUUCUAUUGUCCACGUUACUGAUGAUGUUCUUCUUCAAAUAGAAAUCCACUCAAAUAUCAGGGAGGGGGGUUCUUUAGCAAAAACAUGAUCCUGGUGUCUAAAGUCCUGUUAGUCCAGGAUGAGGUCUACCUGUGGACCCCUGAGAACUUGUCCUGAUUGUGGAGGACCUCUUUGUUUGGAAUCGUGUCUGUAAUGAAUAAAGUGGAACUUUGAGGACAAAUCAGCGACCAUAUCUGAGGACACACAGAGGUCUUCUGAUGAUGGUAUCAGUCCAGAUCAACAUCUCAGUCAGUUGUGGUGAACUUGAGUUUGAAGAAGGUGUCUGCAGCUUCUUCCUGCUGGUUUUCAGGUUGGAAAUGAUGAAUCUGUUGUAAAUGAGGGUGUUGACAGCAUUGAUGGUGAAAAUAGAACUGGAUCAUUUUCUACACAGUGGCAGAACUGUCUCUGUACCAUCAUGUUCAUCAUUCAAUAUUCAUCAUCAAUACAACCAUGAAAACUAACAUCAUUUUCCACCACUCACUGGAGAUUAUCUGCUGGACUAGAACAUAUGAAUGAUGAGAACACAGGAGGUAUUUGGACAGCAGCUCCAUGAGUCUGAAAACAAUGGUGGAGAUAGGAUGUGAAUGUCUCUCUCUCUCUCUCUCUCUCUCUCUCUCUCUGACACUAGUCUGCCUCAUAACACCUCACAGCAUGUGGAAACAGCCGUGCUCUUCCACUGUAUAUAUGGACACCAUGUCUCUAAGAGGAAGCAGUGUGACUGCAUCAUCAUCAUCAUCAGUUUUCCAUGGUGUCCCUUUGUUGUCAUGGUGAUGCAGAGUGAAGAUGAUUCCUCUCAUGUUGAGGUGUUGGUGGGCUGUAACUCGGCUGCACGCCUCUGUUUCAGAUGUUGAUGUAAAUUGGUCAGACUGCUGCCUUCUGCUGAAACAGCCUUUAAACAAACACUGCAGCAGACUGGGGUUUGAUCCAGGUCUGAGUCUGAGAGACUGGACCAGGUCUAAAGGACUAUAACCAGCAUGGCUGUCAUUAGGUUGAAUUAAAGCAGGUACCCAUAUUGAUCCUCCAUGUUCAUAUUAUCAGGACUCAUUAUUGAUACCUCACUUCAUGAUUUAGUGCAAACAUUUAAAAAAGUGAAGAAAACAUGUUCAAAGAUAAAUUUCCUGUGGCUCCAAAUUCUACUUUAUGUAUCAAACACAUUUAUUAGCAAUAAUCAAUCUGUUAAGUACAUUCAUGAGAACGUACCAGAAAGGUCAAAUAAACUCAGGCCUAACUUAGACAGCAGCUGUUCUGGUUUUACUUAGAGACAGAGAGAGAGACAUAGAAAGAGAGAAAGACAGACAGAGUGAGAGAGAGAGAGAGAGAGAGAGAGAGAGAUGACCAGAGCCCAGAGACAGAGGUUCAGUGGGUCUUUGUUUCUGUCUCUUAAAGGUCUCUCUGGAUCCAUCAGGUUUUAUAAACGUGUUUCUGCUGCUGAAGCGAAUGUUACAUGGAGAAAAAACUUUUACUGUGAAAACAAAGAAAUCUUCAACUCUUCAAAUGUUCAGAGUCAAACCAGCUCUAACCUGCUAAAAAAUCGAUUUUAUCUGAACCAAUCAGAGAAGAAGGAGCUGCUGCUGUGAUUCAGUGAGUCGUCCUCUGAUUGGUCAACAGUCAGUGUCUAUGGAAAGACUUACAUUACAGCAGGAUGUCAACAUUAAACACUGAGAGGAGCACUGAUCCUCCAAGAGGUACUUUGGAUACUAACCAAUCACAUACCAGGAUCAAAAACCUUGUUCUCAGUCCCCUUCUCCAACCAGAACUCAAGAAUUCACUCAGUCAUAAUGAUCCAGCUGCACUAACAUGAAGACAACACUGUUGGAGAACAGAAGGACUAAAAUAAGUCAUGGAGUCAUUUGUCUUGAACAUCUGAACAGUUUUUUUUUCUUCUAAACUUUGACUUCCUGUCUUCUCUCAUGGCUGUGGUCCUGAUAUUAGUAUCUGUCUGGUUAAAAACAGGCCGUCUGUCAAACCAAAGAUCAUGUUUGUUUUUGGGGAAGAGAAACAUCAAAUUACCCUUUAAUGAAAUAUUGUUGAUAUUUAUGUUGUUACAGACUUUCUGGCUGUAGACUCUCAGAGACUCACUAUGAAGUUGUGGCCUCAGCUCUGAAGUCCAACCCCUCCCAUCUGAGAUAUCUGGACGUGAGUGAAAACAAUCUGCAGGAUUCAGGAGUGAAGCCUCUCUCUGCAGGACUGGAGAGUCCAAACUGCAGACUGGAGCAUCUGAAGUGAGACACCAUUUCCUUCUGAUCUAACAAUAAGAUGUGACAGCUGCUGCCUUAGAUUUUUCUCUGUGGUUUUUCCAUCAACUUUGGUCGAGCAGUUUGAAUUUGUCGUUGUAAAACUUCGACACAGGAAGAAAAAUCUGACAUUUCAGAGUUGACUUUGAGAAGAACGAUGGAUGUAGAAAGGAAGCAGGAGAAAAUCAGUCCCACAAAUAUUACACAUGCUUGUAGAGGGCAGGAGCAGCACAGACUAAAGGCUGAUAUUGAACUGAUCCACAGUUAAUGUGAUCACUAAUGAAUGAAUGAAGUGUCAGAGAAAUGAUGAGCUGCAGAUUGAAACCUGAAGAACACAGGAGUUUCUCAGGAUCUCACUAAAGUUUUCUGUUUAUUUAAAAUUUUCUUGACUGAAAUUUUCCUCAAGAUUUUCAAAAGUUUAGACAGGAUUUUACAAAGUUCCUCAAGAUCAACUCUGAAAAAGUUCUGUGUCCUUCAGAGACUCAAGAACAUUGAAUCAUUAAAAGCAGGAACAGUUUCUUCAGAGGUUCAAUGAUUUUUUUCUUUUUUCAGAGUGAGUGUCUGCAGGUUGUCAGAGAUCAGCUUUUCUUCUCUGGCCUCAGCUCUGAAGUCCAACCCCUCCCAUCUGAGACUUCUGGAGCUGGGUAACAACGAUCUGCAGGAUUCAGGAGUGAAGCUGCUGUGUGACCUUCUGCAGAGUCCAAACUGUAAACUGGAGCAUCUGGAGUAAGUUUAGUCUUUGUUUCUGUUGUAGAUUUUUAUGUUUAUUCAGUUUUUUUAACCCAAUUCAAAUGUUCAAAGAAUUCUUUAAUAUUUCCAGAACUUUCUUCUUUCUCACAUAAAUUCAUAGUUUUUUUAUUGAAUCAUCAGUCAGAUACAGAUGGAGGAAAACUGUGAGUUAUUUUGUUGAUUGAAUGUUGAUGAUUUUUUAUAAAUGGUUCCGAUGAUCACUGCAGUGAUGUUGACGGGUUUACUUCCUCGGUCUCUAAAUCAGUCAAAUGUUCAAGGAUGCAGUGAACUCACUAUCCAUGCAGCUCAGGAACACAGCUCAUCUUUUUCAUACAGGAAACAUUGUCAACAACAAAGGUGUGUUAAAGUCCCAUCAGUCAGCAGCUUCAGUCAGAAAUCUUGCUGUCAGAGCUCCGUCAUUUCAACCCUCUGUAUAACUCCUCAGCACAGACCAGACCCUGUGAGAACAUCCUCACAACAUGCUGCUUUAGUUACAACAACAACAACAACAACAACAACAACAAUAAUCAGCUGUUAGCAGAGAUUUCAUCCAAACAGUCCAGGAGACAAACUUGUUUGUGGUUGGAAAAUUCAGGUGUCCACCGCUCAUGCAGAGUUGACUCAUGUUGAUGAUGUUUUCAUGUCUAGAGGACAUGCUGGAGUGAAUUCAACCAAACCUCCUGAGAAAAAGACAGCGGUGGCAGACAUUAGAUCAGGCUUCAUGACGUCUGUGCGUCCCUUUAUUCAACCAAAUCAGAGAGUUUCCCUCAUGUUUCCACACAAACUUUAAAUUGUUGAAACUGAUUUUUUUUUAUUUUUUUUUUUAUUAGAUUUGGAGUUUUAGUCUUUUAAUUUCAGAGAAAUUUGAACAUAUUCAUAACUUAAUAUUCAGUGAUUUGUAGUGAUUUGAAUUUAUAAUAAAUGUCCUAAGAUUAAUAAUUGAUACUAAUCUUACACUUUGACAUUUAUGCACUCGUUGAAAGGGGCACCACCCACCUGAAUGGUGGGAAAAUAAAGAAAAGGUUUGCAUACUUAUGUGAGACUGGUCCUUGGAGAGGAUGGAGGAGGUUCACUGAAGGUCCGGGCUACCGGCGGUUUGGGAGGUUCGGCUCAGCAGAGGACCGAAGCCAGACAAAGGACAGGCCAGGAGUCACAACACACAGGCCUGAAUGCAUAAACCAGCACCUUUUUGUGUCCUUUGGAUGCUCCUUUUGUCUCACUCAAAACUCUACCACAGAGUAUGACUUUGGGCCUGCUGGGUAGCAUUCAGAGGUGACUUUGAAGUAACGCAGAUAACUAAGAAAUAGAAACUCCAUGGACAGUUGAAACUAUUUCAAAAAUGAGCGAAGUUAAAGAAAAACCAAUUAAAGGCUUAAUCUUGGAUCCCUGUAUGCACAAAAAUAGUUGAAGUUUCAAUACUGAACUAAGACGUUAAAGAAAAAUCAUACAACGUGAAUGAACACUAAUGUAAAACUUAGAAGACUAAGAGGAAAAAGUAAGACUAAGUAGUAAGAGUAAGAACUAAGAGAAAACAAGCUAGGAGGGAACUAAGCAGAAACAAAGAGACAAGAGAAGAGGACAGAAGUGAAUAAGAGAGUGAGCACCCCAACUUUACUGGUUUAAUACUCUUCAAACUGGGAGUGUCUCUGGGGUGUGAGGAGAGAAAGGAGGGUGUCCUCGCUGGUGUCCUGCUGCAGCUUUUUCAGAGGAGACCUUCAGGAUCCCUCAUUGUAUGAUCGAACUUAUACUUUUGGCAGGUAAAGGAAUCAGAUCGAAUACUCACUCACUGUGAUUAAUGUUAUUGAAUGCUUGGUUCAUAAUGAAUGAUUUGAUGUUAAACAAAUAUAAAGAAUUGUAGAAUCACAUUAACGAACAUUCUCAUUAUGCUUUGAGUAUCACUUUUCAAAGAACAUUGUUAAAAAAGUACAUGUUCAAUUACUCUGAAAUGAAACAGAUAGUAACACAUAUAAACUGUGAAUAACACAAGGGUAAACACAUGUACAUGAACUUACAAUUAAUAAUAAUUAAUAACAUUUAAAAAAGGAUUCUACAGACCAACACUCAGAUUAUUAUCUAAUAGUAUAACUACCUAAUGUUUAACAAAGCUAAACAAAUGAUUAAGAGAUAAACUAAACAUUUCUACACUAUUUCUACUAGAAUAAGGUUGUAAUUAAAACAUAACUUCAGCUCUUGAAAGUUCAUGAAACAGUUUGGAAAGCUGUUGAUCUCAAAGAACUUUAGGACUGAAGGAUUUAUUCUGUCAGUGUGAAAUUAUGGCUUGUGAACAUGAUCGGCAAAUGGGACAAAGACUGUUUUCCUGCACAUGUUGAGUACUGGCAGAAGAUCAUAGUGUGGUGUCCAUCCAACCUGAAAUUGGACUAGUUGUAGCUAUUCUCUUUAGAUUGUACUCAACGAGAGCACAACCAAAUGUAGGAUUCAAGGCUGAGCUGAUAAACCUGACGCUUCCUAGUCAAGGUGUGAUGGCAGAUGUUUAUCUGAUGACGUGGUCCUGUAGUUCUUUCCUGCUGGCCAUAAACAAUGUCUCGGUCUCUUUGAAGUGGAAAGGAUAGGAGGUUUGUCCUUUUGAGAAGGCUUCUUUGGUUAUCUUCUAUAAAGACAGGAGGUUGUAGAAAGAUCGUGAUUUGGUGUUGAAAGUUUAGACCAUCUCGUCUCCGGUGACCAGAUGUAAGCCUUAAAUUCCUUUGGGGAGUUUAGAUGAGGAGGUGAUGGUCGCUGCUACAAAUUACAACCAUAUCAUACUGAUAUCAGACAGGAGUGUGACAGGUGUUUAUUAGUCUUUUUGACACGUUACAAUCAUGAGGAUAAAGUCAUGGACUAAACUCGGGCUCCCAGUUUCCUUAUUGUUGUUGUUGUUGCUUCAGCUAGCAUCAUUGUUUUCAUCACAGUUAAUAAAGUAAUGAUGAUGCUUCAUAAAUUCAGAGUCACAAAAAACACCAAACAAACUAAAUGUGAAAAAUCUGUUUUGAUUUUCAGUUUUCAUGUGGAGUAAUACAGAGAUAUCUGUUAAGGCUUGAGUUUAUAGCUGGACCCAAAAGAUAGGAGACCUCAGGUCUGUUCAAAAGUUUUAUUGACUUGCACAAGACAUAGAAAAAUUACACAAACUAAGAAAAAAUCCUUGCAGGCUGCAGCUGCUACAGGCUGUCUGACCACCACACUGAAGACCAGAGCAAGAUUAGGCACCGAGGCACCAAUUUAAAAAAAAGAAAAAAACACAAAAAAAAGGUGAUCAGGAUGGAUUCAGAGAAUCUAGAAAAAGCUUUUGUCUGGAAACCUGAACCUGGCACUACCGAAUGAGACGGAAUUAUCUGGCAGAGUAGUGGAGGGUGAGCCAGUGUUGUUUUCGUCAGGCAGGACGAAAACUUAAAUGACGACGUCAGACCCCUUUUUUCCUUGACGAAAAUGAGACUAAGACGAACAUCACCAAAGCUCUGUAAAGACUAAAAUGUGACGAAAAUUAUAUUCACUUUCGUCAGACGAGAACGAGACGAGACUAAAUUGUUAUUAGGUGGACGAACAAAGUUUCAAAACAUGCUUUUUUUUGUCCUAACAGUCACGCCCCCAUCACACACGCACCAAAAGCCUCGCUCGAGCACAGCUGCGCGCACACACUCAUACACAUACACAGAGCGGCAGGUGGACGAGGCGCGCGCACACACACACACACACCGUGGCGGCAGGCACAGCAGCGGUACCCGGUGGCCGAAAAAAGAGGGAUGAUUUUUGGUCCUACUUCAGAUACAGUCCAAGUGACAAUAAAAUAAAAGUGACAAUAAAACACGGGACGGGGAGACGAGACAGACGACAGUUGUGGAGCCACAGCUUCCUCAUGCUUCAAACUGUCGGGAAAGAACACCACGAACCUCAAAAGGCACCUUUACGUCGACUAAAACUAGACGAAAACCUUUUGAGUUUUGGUCGGACUAAAACUAGACGAAAACUAUCAAGGAUAGAAAUGACUAAAAUGGGACUAAAACGAAGAAGCAUUUCGUCAAAAUGACUAAGACUAAAACUAAAUCUAAAAUGCCUGCCAAAAACAACACUGGGGUGAGCCAGUUGCUACGGAGAGGUGAGUUGAUUGCAGAGUGCCAUCAGGUGUGCCCUGCUACACACAGCCAGAAAGAAGGAGGUUCCUGCAGCAAAAUCAGAUUAGAGACUGAUCUAAAUGAAAUGUGAGUGAACUCAGCCAUCAGUGAAUCAAUGACAAAGUGAGAGGAAGAGUGGAUCUGUCUGCUGUCUGACCUUGUUGAUCCUGAUGAAGGUGAGGGAGAAGAGUAAAGCAGUAAAGGUGAUGUUGUUGCAGACAGAGUCAGCUGACCUGUCUCAUCAGAGUCUCAUCCAUUCUCUGUUUGGCAGAGCGCUGAUGUUACAGUCUGAGAGCACAUUCAGGUUCAGCUUCACAUGGGCUGGAUCUGCUAAAUACAAACUCUUGAGACCAGCCUGGUUGAGGGAGGUGGGCUCAGUGUCCUGGGUGACUCUCUCUGAGCUCUUCUUGGUUGAGAGUAUUUCUGGUUUGUCUCUGACUUCCAUGAACUCAGAUCUGGAGGAUUGCUGGCUGGUCCGGUCCAGUUCUGACAGUAGAGACAACACAGUCUGUUAUUCUGGGUUGAGUGUUCUUGUUGAAGAUCAGUGUACAGUGAGGGAUGAAGGCAGACAAAGAUCCUCCUGUUUCCUCCAUGUCACAGUUCAAGUUCAUUUUGAAGACUUUGAUUGAUCCGAGCGCUGAAGAGGAACAGGAAACGUGGAGUAGAGAGUGAGGGAGGACUUACAGCAAAGGAUCAUGGGAGUCGAACCAGCAACUGCUGCAACAAGGACUCCACCUUCUGAACACCUGAACCUCUAAUCCAAACCAGUGCUCCAUCACAUCUGAUGUCUCAUCUGUUAUGUUACAUGGACGGUCAGAGCAGACCACAUCAUGAGCUCUGACAGACUGGAUCUGGUCCAAAGGUCUCCUGUUGGAGUUCUCUAAGCUCCAUAUUUUAAACCUGAACACCUGAAGUUUGAUUAUUAAUUAUUUUUAUCUUCAUUCUCUUUCCUUUUUUCAGACUGUGGGGCUGCAGGCUGUCAGAGAUCAGCUGUUCUUCUCUGGCCUCAGCUCUGAAGUCCAACCCCUCCCAUCUGAGACAUCUGGACCUGAGCAGAAACAAUCUGAAGGAUUCAGGAGUGGAGCUGCUGUGUGCCUUUCUGCAGAGUCCAAACUGUAAACUGGAGACUCUGAG
rnacentral:lncRNA from 1 species